rnacentral:rRNA from 1 species
AUUGAACGCUGGCGGCAUGCCUUACACAUGCAAGUCGAACGGUAACGGGCCUUCGGGUGCCGACGAGUGGCGAACGGGUGAGUAAUACAUCGGAACGUGCCCGAUCGUGGGGGAUAACGAGGCGAAAGCUUUGCUAAUACCGCAUACGAUCUACGGAUGAAAGCAGGGGACCGCAAGGCCUUGCGCGGACGGAGCGGCCGAUGGCAGAUUAGGUAGUUGGUGGGAUAAAAGCUUACCAAGCCGACGAUCUGUAGCUGGUCUGAGAGGAUGAUCAGCCACACUGGGACUGAGACACGGCCCAGACUCCUACGGGAGGCAGCAGUGGGGAAUUUUGGACAAUGGGCGCAAGCCUGAUCCAGCCAUGCCGCGUGCAGGAUGAAGGCCUUCGGGUUGUAAACUGCCUUUGUACGGAACGAAAAGCCUUCUUUUAAUACAGGAGGGUCAUGACGGUACCGUAAGAAUAAGCACCGGCUAACUACAUG